GCCUUGCUCCCUGGCCUGAGAUUGAGGAGGAGGCUGGGGGACUGAAGUCCCUUUCUUGUGCCAGCUGACUGCCCACUCUGGCUGUGAGCUAGGGCUCCAGGUGCCUUAGUGAACCCGGAGCAACCGGGAACGAUCCCACUUCCCAGGCCACCGCCGAUGCCAGCCCCAGUCUCUGUACAUUUCUGCAGGACUCCCCAAACCUCUCAUUCCAGGGACCCAGGGGACCACAAAGGUAUUAA